rnacentral:rRNA from 1 species
UUCGAUGCAACGCGAAGAACCUUACCAGGUCUUGACAUCUGUAGAACCUUGUUGAAAGACAGGGGUGCCUUCGGGAGCUACAAGACAGGUGGUGCAUGGUUGUCGUCAGCUCGUGUCGUGAGAUGUGGGUUAAGUCCCGCAACGAGCGCAACCCUUGCUAUUAGUUGCUAACAGGUAGAGCUGAGCACUCUAAUGGGACUGCCCGUGACAAGCGGGAGGAAGGUGGGGAUGACGUCAAAUCAUCAUGCCCUUUAUGAUCUGGGCUACACACGUGCUACAAUGGAUGGUACAGAGAGCAGCGAGGCCGCGAGGUGGAGCGAAUCUCAAAAAGCCAUUCUCAGUUCGGAUUGCAGUCUGCAACUCGACUGCAUGAAGUCGGAAUCGCUAGUAAUCGCGAAUCAGCACGUCGCGGUGAAUGCGUUCCCGGGCCUU